rnacentral:rRNA from 1 species
AACGAACGCUGGCGGCAGGCUUAACACAUGCAAGUCGAACGCAUCCUUCGGGGUGAGUGGCAGACGGGUGAGUAACGCGUGGGAACGUGCCCUUCAGUUCGGGAUAACCCAGGGAAACUUGGGCUAAUACCGGAUACGUGCGAGAGCAGAAAGAUUUAUCGCUGAAGGAUCGGCCCGCGUCUGAUUAGCUGGUUGGUGGGGUAAUGGCCCACCAAGGCGACGAUCAGUAGCUGGUCUGAGAGGAUGAUCAGCCACAUUGGGACUGAGACACGGCCCAAACUCCUACGGGAGGCAGCAGUGGGGAAUAUUGGACAAUGGGCGCAAGCCUGAUCCAGCCAUGCCGCGUGAGUGAUGAAGGCCUUAGGGUUGUAAAGCUCUUUCGUCCGGGACGAUAAUGACGGUACCGGAAGAAGAAGCCCCGGCUAACUUCGUGCCAGCCGCCGCAGUAAGAC